ensembl:snoRNA
AAUACUAAGACUGAAGGCCGGCAGCUUUGACGCUGUUGGUUUCAAGCAGGAGCCUAAAGAGAUUUAUUCCUAUGGUCUGUUGGCCAUUUCAGAACUUGGGCAGUAGAAUGGUCAGUUCAUUAGAAAGAAACAGCU